ACCCGUGUCUGAAUAUAUAGGGCAUGUGGAGGGAACGCGGGGAAGUGAAACAUCUCAGUACCCGCAGGAAGAGAAAAUAACAAUGAUUCCGGGAGUAGUGGCGAGCGAAACUGGAUGAGCCUAAACCGUGUGCGUGUCAAGCGUGCUGGUGUUGCGUACACGGUGUUGUGGGGUGUACAUGGUCCGGUCCAGCAUGGCCGGUCUGUGAUGUGGUUGGUGUAGUCGAACCUGGUGGGAAACAGGACCGGAGUGGGUGAGAGUCCCGUAGACGAAACGUCAGCCAGUUGCAGUGUGUGCGUUGCCCGAGUAGCACGGAACUCGUGGAAUUUCGUGUGAAUCUGCCAGGACCACCUGGUAAGGCUAAAUACUUCCUGAUGACCGAUAGCGGAAUUAGUACCGUGAGGGAAUGGUGAAAAGUACCCCGGGAGGGGAGUGAAAGAGUACCUGAAACCAUGUGCUUACAAUCCGUCAGAGCAGUAUCUAGAUGACUGUGAUGGCGUGCCUUUUGAAGAAUGAGCC
rnacentral:rRNA from 1 species